rnacentral:rRNA from 1 species
GUUAGGAAUAUUGGACAAUGGGCGCAAGCCUGAUCCAGCCAUGCCGCGUGAGUGAUGAAGGCCUUCGGGUUGUAAAGCUCUUUAGCCGAUGAUUAUAAUGACUGUAGUCGGAAAAUAAGCCCCGGCUAACUUCGUGCCAGCAGCCGCGGUAAUACGAAGGGGGCGAGCGUUAUUCGGAAUCACUGGGCGUAAAGCGUGCGUAGGCGGUUUUGUAAGUUAGGAGUGAAAGCCCAGGGCUCAACCCUGGAAUUGCUCUUAAAACUACAAGGCUAGAAUGUCGGAGAGGAUAGCGGAAUUUCCAGUGUAGCAGUGAAAUGCGUAGAUAUUGGAAGGAACACCAGUGGCGUAAGCGGCUAUCUGGACGACUAUUGACGCUGAGGCACGAAAGCGUGGGGAUCAAACAGGAUUAGAAACCCCAGUAGUCC